rnacentral:rRNA from 1 species
AUGGCGGCUUCGCUGCGCACACGGGUCGGCCUAAUUAUCAUGCGGGGUAGCAAACACUCACGGGCUACACAGCCCACGUACUUGGCUCGGGCAGCCCACGGGCACAGAAUAGCUCGCCGGUGCUGCACCACAGUGACCUAUAGGCUAUCAUUGCGCAACAAAAAGCCAGCGUGUGUAUCUGAGCGUAAUCCUUCCAUGGCACCAGUGGCCGGAGGUGCGGCGACGGCGAUGCUGCAACUUCUCCUCGUCACUCACCUCAUCGUUGCCACCUGCAGCAGCCAACAGUACAUGAUCGCGAUGGAAGAAAGAAAUGACCUUAUUCUAUCUCGUUCCCACUCCUGUCCCAUCAUGAGAGUCUUCACAAGUUUCUUGCCUCCUCCAACGGCCUCGCUGGCCGGAGCGGGUAUGGGAGAGGAUGCCGCUCCGCUGGAUCUAGUGCGAGCGCUGAAAAUGGACCUCGACUCGUCAUCAAUUGAGCUGAGCUAUCGUUGUGGAGGAAGGAAAGAGAUGGGAGGGGAAGGAUCAGGCGGCCAACGAACUAUGGUGCUCAUCAAUAACCGCCCAAAUUUCUUAGCCCGAUACAACAAUUGCUGGGCCCUGAAGGCUUGGUGCUCUGACGCCCAUCAUGUGGCCGCCAAUCCAAAAGGGUGCAGUUUCCCUGCCCUCAGCCUGGCGUCCAUAGCGGCAGGUCUCAGAGGAGCUGUUGUGCCUGCACUCGUCUCGGUGCCCAUGCCGACAAUCACGGCUGACUCACCAGAUCAGUUCCGCGGCAAGCUUCGACUUCCACGUUUUGCUUUGCCAAGCCACUAUGAGCUCAAUUUCCGCCCUGACCUCAUGUCCUACACCUUCUCUGGUGUGGUGGCAAUUACUGUCGUCGUCUUAGCACCGACCCGAUUCCUCGUGCUCAAUGUUAUGGAACUCACCAUUGACCAUGCAUCCAUUUACUUCAAGUGUCAUGGUUCCCAGUUGUCCCAAUGUUUGGUGCCAACCGAGGUGGUGUUUUUCAAGGAUGACCAAAUUAUGGUGCUCAGGUUCCGUAAAGAGCUUCCACUAGGUGAGGGUGUUCUUAGGGUGCACUUCAAUGGCACCCUCAAUCAUGAGAUGAUGGGAUUUUACAGGAGGUAUGACAUCCUUUUUGCAUUUGUAUUUCAUGCACGAAAGCGUAAUAUUACCAAUUGGUAUUAG